rnacentral:tRNA from 1 species
GCUCCCUGAGUAGGCUGGUAAUACACUGCUUUUACACAGCAGGGGACUUGGUUCGAUUCCGAGAGGGAGUACCA